GUCUGGAUGGCCGAGUGGUCUAAGGCACCAUACUCAAGAUGUGGAGGCGUGGGUUCAAAUCCCACUUCUGACA